UUGAACGCUGGCGGCAGGCCUAACACAUGCAAGUCGAACGGUAACAGGAAGCAGCUUGCUGCUUUGCUGACGAGUGGCGGACGGGUGAGUAAUGUCUGGGAAACUGCCUGAUGGAGGGGGAUAACUACUGGAAACGGUAGCUAAUACCGCAUAACGUCGCAAGACCAAAGAGGGGGACCUUCGGGCCUCUUGCCAUCGGAUGUGCCCAGAUGGGAUUAGCUUGUUGGUGGGGUAACGGCUCACCAAGGCGACGAUCCCUAGCUGGUCUGAGAGGAUGACCAGCCACACUGGAACUGAGACACGGUCCAGACUCCUACGGGAGGCAGCAGUGGGGAAUAUUGCACAAUGGGCGCAAGCCUGAUGCAGCCAUGCCGCGUGUAUGAAGAAGGCCUUCGGGUUGUAAAGUACUUUCAGCGGGGAGGAAGGGAGUAAAGUUAAUACCUUUACUCAUUGACGUUACCCGCAGAAGAAGCACCGGCUAACUCCGUGCCAGCAGCCGCGGUAAUACGGAGGGUGCAAGCGUUAAUCGGAAUUACUGGGCGUAAAGCGCACGCAGGCGGUUUGUUAAGUCAGAUGUGAAAUCCCCGGGCUCAACCUGGGAACUGCAUCUGAUACUGGCAAGCUUGAGUCUCGUAGAGGGGGGUAGAAUUCCAGGUGUAGCGGUGAAAUGCGUAGAGAUCUGGAGGAAUACCGGUGGCGAAGGCGGCCCCCUGGACGAAGACUGACGCUCAGGUGCGAAAGCGUGGGGAGCAAACAGGAUUAGAUACCCUGGUAGUCCACGCCGUAAACGAUGUCGACUUGGAGGUUGUGCCCUUGAGGCGUGGCUUCCGGAGCUAACGCGUUAAGUCGACCGCCUGGGGAGUACGGCCGCAAGGUUAAAACUCAAAUGAAUUGACGGGGGCCCGCACAAGCGGUGGAGCAUGUGGUUUAAUUCGAUGCAACGCGAAGAACCUUACCUGGUCUUGACAUCCACAGAACUUUCCAGAGAUGGAUUGGUGCCUUCGGGAACUGUGAGACAGGUGCUGCAUGGCUGUCGUCAGCUCGUGUUGUGAAAUGUUGGGUUAAGUCCCGCAACGAGCGCAACCCUUAUCCUUUGUUGCCAGCGGUCCGGCCGGGAACUCAAAGGAGACUGCCAGUGAUAAACUGGAGGAAGGUGGGGAUGACGUCAAAUCAUCAUGCCCUUUAUGUCUUGGGCUACACACGUACUACAAUGGGUGUAACAGAGGGAAGCAACACAGCGAUGUGAAGCGAAACCCAAAAAGCACCCCCAGUUCGGAUUGAAGGCUGAAAUUCGCCUUCAUGAAGCCGGAAUUGCUAGUAAUGGCAGGUCAGCAUACUGCCGUGAAUACGUUCCCGGGCCUUGUACACACCGCCCGUCACACCAUGAGAGUUGGGGAUACCCGAAGCCUGUGAGCCAACAUAUCUAUGAGGCAGCAGUCGAAGGUAGAAUCAAUGAUUGGGGUG
rnacentral:rRNA from 1 species